ensembl:ncRNA F46F2.10 ncRNA
UGCAAUCUAACCUUGCGGCAAAAAAAAAUGGAAAGUGGGAGGGGAACGACAGAAGAAAACGUGUUUUCAGGCGUUUUUCUGUCACCUCGCGCUGCUUCUGCGCUCGCUCCCUU